UACGUAGGCAGCAAGCGUUGUUCGGAGUUACUGGGCGUAAAGAGUGCGUAGGCGGUUGACCAAGUCUGCUGUGAAAUCUCCCGGCUUAACUGGGAGGGUGCGGUGGAAACUGGUUGGCUUGAGAGUGGGAGAGGUAAGCGGAAUUCCUGGUGUAGCGGUGAAAUGCGUAGAUAUCGUCAAGAACACCGAUAGCGAAGG
rnacentral:rRNA from 1 species